rnacentral:rRNA from 1 species
UCAGGCCUAACACAUGCAAGUCGAACGCCCCGCAAGGGGAGUGGCAGACGGGUGAGUAACGCGUGGGAAUCUACCUAGUUCUACGGAACAACAGUUGGAAACGACUGCUAAUACCGUAUACGCCCUACGGGGGAAAGAUUUAUCGGAAUUAGAUGAGCCCGCGUAAGAUUAGCUAGUUGGUGGGGUAAUGGCCUACCAAGGCGACGAUCUUUAGCUGGUCUGAGAGGAUGAUCAGCCACACUGGGACUGAGACACGGCCCAGACUCCUACGGGAGGCAGCAGUGGGGAAUA